AUCUGCACAGUGAAAAAGAAGGAAGAGGCAGUUUUUGUGAUGAAAUAUAUCACUGUGCCUGGCACAAGGGCUACCACAGUAGUAUAAACAGCACAGGGCUCUGUACAAAUACCCACAGAAGGAAAAAAGGCAAUAUAUUUAGGAGAAGAAAGGACAUGGGUGACUGAAAUCAUUAAGGAGACAAAUAUAACAUUAUUUUACUAUUUCUAUUUAUCCUGGGAAUACAGAGCUCACCGGGUUUUGAAAAGACAGAAGGAAGAACUUGGAAACUUUUUACAGUCAAGCUUUUUGAAAUCACUGAACUAUUUAAUGAUUGUCUUUCCCUUUCCAUGUUUGGAAGAAAAUGUGGCUCUGGAUACCCUUUUGGUUUUGCAUACGUGGACAUCCAAACAAGUUCUGUCCCACAAGUCAUUUUGAUGAAAUCAAAGAAACUGAAAGAAGAUGACAGCACUAGGAAAGCAGCUUGUUUGGCAAGGAAUGUCUAUACGAAGAACAUCAGCUUGGACAUGUCCUCUAAUGAAGUCGUAUAUGAACCAAGUGCAUCCAUUUUGACACCGGAGGGGUUGUAUGAUACUAUUAAGGUGGUGAGUGUGACAAGUGGCACAGAGGUGAGCUGCACGGCCAGUAUCAACAGCAGCACCAUCACAGCCAGCACAAGCUUGGCAGAAGAGAAUGCUGAAGACCCAGAAAUGGGGGAGGUUUGCAAAACCACAGACACCUCUGCACAAGGUACCAAAGUGGAAAAAGCGAACAUGCUGUCUAUGGCUGUGUUGGGUUUAAGAGUCCUGCUGGCAAAAAGCAUCGCCUUCAAUACACUCAUGAGUAUCAAGCUGUUUCUUUUCUGAGGUAAGGAAGCACACGGCAUGAUUGGUAGAAAUACUGGAAGCAGAUGCCAGGAAAGACAUCUUUGUCUUUGUGUACCUCUCUAACCCCACAAACAAUGAUAGCUUUCCAUCUGGUCCUGUUUCCUUUAAAUAACCCCUGUAGAUUUCUGGGACCCCCCUAAACCAUGACAAAAAACUCCUCCCAAAACCAACAAUCC
rnacentral:lncRNA from 14 species